rnacentral:rRNA from 1 species
UGGGGAAUAUUGGUCAAUGGAGGAAACUCUGAACCAGCAACGCCGCGUGAAUGAUGAAGGUCUUCGGAUUGUAAAGUUCUUUUCUAAGGGAAGAAGAAAGUGACGGUACCUUAGGAAUAAGCCUCGGCUAACUACGUGCCAGCAGCCGCGGUAAUACGUAGGAGGCGAGCGUUAUCCGGAAUGACUGGGCGUAAAGGGUGCGUAGGUGGUUUGACAAGUUGGUAGCGUAACUCCGAGGCUCAACCUCGGCACUACUACCAAAACUGUCGGACUUGAGUGCAGGAGGGGCAAUUGGAAUUCCUAGUGUAGCGGUGGAAUGCGCAGAUAUUAGGAGGAACACCGGUGGCGAAGGCGAAUUGCUGGACUGUAACUGACACUGAGGCACGAAAGCGUGGGGAGCAAACAGG